rnacentral:rRNA from 1 species
UACGGAGGGGGCUAGCGUUGUUCGGAAUUACUGGGCGUAAAGCGCACGUAGGCGGCUUUGUAAGUUAGAGGUGAAAGCCCAGAGCUCAACUCUGGAAUUGCCUUUAAGACUGCAUCGCUUGAACAUCGGAGAGGUGAGUGGAAUUCCGAGUGUAGAGGUGAAAUUUCGUAGAUAUUCGGAAGAACACCAGUGGCGAAAGGCGACU